rnacentral:rRNA from 1 species
CAGCCGCCGCGGUAAUACGGAGGGUGCAAGCGUUAAUCGGAAUUACUGGGCGUAAAGCGCACGCAGGCGGUCUGUCAAGUCAGAUGUGAAAUCCCCGGGCUUAACCUGGGAACUGCAUUUGAAACUGGCAGGCUAGAGUCUUGUAGAGGGGGGUAGAAUUCCAGGUGUAGCGGUGAAAUGCGUAGAGAUCUGGAGGAAUACCGGUGGCGAAGGCGGCCCCCUGGACAAAGACUGACGCUCAGGUGCGAAAGCGUGGGGAGCAAACAGGAUUAGAGACCCCAGUAGUCCCUGUCUAUUAUAC